rnacentral:sRNA from 1 species
UUUGAUUAUUCGCCGUAGACAGUAGGUGCGUAAAGCUUAAUUUCCUACCGAGGUUACAUAAUUAGAUUAAAAUGAUCUAAUUAUAAAAAAGUUCUCUUUACCUCUUUUUGUCUAUGCAAAAAGAGGUUUAUUUUUUC